rnacentral:rRNA from 1 species
AACGAGCGCUGGCGGCGUGCCUAACACAUGCAAGUCGAACGGAAUUGAGGGGCUUGCUCUUCAAUUUAGUGGCGCACGGGUGAGUAACGCGUGGAUAAUCUGCCUGACGAUCUGGGAUAACAUCUCGAAAGGGGUGCUAAUACCGGAUAAGCCCACGGGAACUUCGGUUUUUGCGGGAAAAGGGGGGGACCUUUUGGCCUUCUGUCGUCAGAUGAGUCCGCGUACCAUUAGCUAGUUGGUAGGGUAAAGGCCUACCAAGGCUACGAUGGUUAGCUGGUUUGAGAGAAUGAUCAGCCACACUGGAACUGAGACACGGUCCAGACUCCUACGGGAGGCAGCAGUGGGGAAUUUUGCGCAAUGGGCGAAAGCCUGACGCAGCAACGCCGCGUGAGUGAUGAAGGCUUUCGGGUCGUAAAGCUCUGUCAGAGGGAAAGAAGUGUAUUGUGGCUAAUAUCCGCGAUACUUGACGGUACCCUCAAAGGAAGCACCGGCUAACUCCGUGCCAGCAGCCGCCGUAAUAC